rnacentral:rRNA from 1 species
ACGGAGGGGGCUAGCGUUGUUCGGAAUUACUGGGCGUAAAGCGCACGUAGGCGGACAGAGAAGUCAGAGGUGAAAUCCCAGGGCUCAACCUUGGAACUGCCUUUGAAACUUUUUGUCUUGAGGUCGAGAGAGGUGAGUGGAAUUCCGAGUGUAGAGGUGAAAUUCGUAGAUAUUCGGAGGAACACCAGAGGCGAAGGCGGCUCACUGGCUCGAUACUGACGCUGAGGUGCGAAAGCGUGGGGAGCAAACAGG